UAAGGAAUAUUGGUCAAUGGGCGGAAGCCUGAACCAGCCAUGCCGCGUGCAGGAAGACGGCCCUACGGGUUGUAAACUGCUUUUACAGGGGAAUAAACCUCGGUACGUGUACCGAGCUGAAUGUACUCUGAGAAUAAGGAUCGGCUAACUCCGUGCCAGCAGCCGCGGUAAUACGGAGGAUCCAAGCGUUAUCCGGAUUUAUUGGGUUUAAAGGGUGCGUAGGUGGCCUGUUAAGUCAGGGGUGAAAGACGGUAGCUCAACUAUCGCAGUGCCCUUGAUACUGAUGGGCUUGAAUAAACUAGAGGUAGGCGGAAUGUGACAAGUAGCGGUGAAAUGCAUAGAUAUGUCACAGAACACUAAUUGCGAAGGCAGCUUACUAUGGUUUUAUUGACACUGAGGCACGAAAGCGUGGGGAUCAAACAG
rnacentral:rRNA from 1 species